AACUACACUCAGUGGCUGAGAGGAGAAAUCAGUUACUUCCCCAAAAGUAGAAGCCUGAGUUCUGUGCUCUCCAGUGCCACCUCUGCCUGAGUCCCCUGUUAGCAGGAUGGAGCCACAAGGAUGUGACGUCAAGCACUGAACAUGACUAGGCUGUACUUGGAGCGUGUGAUAUCUUCAGGAAACAUUGUAGGCAUUUAGAAACCAGAAGAACAACAAAACAAAACAAAAGAAAAAACAAGAUCCUUUGUGGAUUAACAACAGUGUCUUGUUAUGUGUGACCAAGACCAUCUUCAUGAAUUCCUAGUCACAAGAACGCCAGGAGUUUUCUAGAGAUAAAGGCCAUUUAAGGGUGGGACUCUAAAGACCUCGGUCCCGAAGAGCCUCCCAGUCUCAUCCUAAUCUACACAGCCCGCAGAAACAUAUCGAAAACACUGACGUGUUUGUUUAACAGCUAUCGCCUCAGGUGUUUUGCCUGCGUGUAUAUAUGUCUGUGUAUCACUACGUGUAUGGCUGCUACCCAGAGGGGCCAGAAGUCAUUGGGUGCACCUGGAACUGGAGUUAGAAAUGGUUCUGAGCCAGCAUAAUCAAGACAACACUCUUAAUUGUUGGGCCAUCUCUCCAGUCCCUAGGACUCCAUUUUUGAAUCCAAGUUCUCAUACUAUUGCCUUGUAGUUAAAACAUGUAGUUAGUCUUCAUAGUGAUAGCCGAACACCCCAGAGGAGCCUCCUGAGGUCGAAGAACCUCACAAAGGCAAAAUGCUUGAAUUCCUGGUGCACAAAGGGCAUCUGAGAAAUGACACAUCAGGUCUCCUGAAGAUUGCAAAUUCGUGUGUGUCACCCCUUGACACCCUUGUCAACUAAGAAACAGUCCUUCUUCAUGACGAACAUUAGAGAUAAACAAUAUGUGACUAAGUAUCAGAGAGGGCUUCUCACACUGUGACUAAAUAAAUAAAAUAUACCAGACAGAAGCGUCCUCAUGUGUGGGAAGUGUUGCAACGCUGUGACAUCUAAACAGUGUUUUCACAUACGCAGUUGUUGGAUUAUUGGUAGUACAUUUAACUAUAAACAUCAGCUCUUUAAAACUGGCAAUGGGCAGGAUCUGCAUCUUUUAUAAGAGAGUUAUGUAAUGGGGGGAAGUAUUUUUAAAUAUCCUCACUUCUGUCUUUCCACGACUCAGUCAUGCAGAAGACUGAGUGGAAUACGUAACACUCUGAAACGCCAGUGGGUGCAGUAUACGAAUAAAGUCUUCUUUCCCAAGGAAAGAAGAAAAAUGAUUUAAUGACUUCAGUGUCUGUUUAUUCAUAAGCAUGACAGCUGUCUUCAUUUGAUUGCCUGAACUGACGUCAGUUGUGUAUUAUAAACGCUACAAGAUAAACUUCGCAAGCCAGAGCUUGUUUCCGAAAUUUUUUUAGAAAGUGUAAACAUUACAGCAUUUGUGGAUAGCUGCAUACUUGAAGUCUCAUUUUGUCCAAGGGCACAGUUAGUUAUCAAACAAGAUUAUGGUCCCAAGUAGAGAUGAAGUACACACACAUAGUCACAGACUGGACAAACUAAAAGGUUAAACAGUGUGUAAAUUCAGUAGUCAUCUGCAAAAGUACAGGCACAUAAACCACAUUUGAGAUGAAUAGAAAACUAUAACUGUCCACUAAAAUUUGUUGUCCAAAUGAUUUUACUGCUGACAUUUUAAUAUAAUAGGUUUUACUAACAAUUCUUUGUACAGUAAUCACUUCAUUUCUGUGGUUACACUGUCUGUGAGUUCAGUUACCCAUGCGUAGUACCGUGGCCCCAAAUUAUUAAAUGGAAACACCAGAAGUAAGUCAUAUAUUUUAUAAUGUAGGGCAUCCUGAGAAGCAGGAUGAACCCUCCC